rnacentral:rRNA from 1 species
GAUGAACGCUGGCGGCGUGCCUAAUACAUGCAAGUCGAGCGAACAGAUGAGGAGCUUGCUCCUCUGACGUUAGCGGCGGACGGGUGAGUAACACGUGGAUAACCUACCUAUAAGACUGGGAUAACUUCGGGAAGCCGGAGCUAAUACCGGAUAAUAUAUUGAACCGCAUGGUUCAAUAGUGAAAGACGGUUUUGCUGUCACUUAUAGAUGGAUCCGCGCCGCAUUAGCUAGUUGGUAAGGUAACGGCUUACCAAGGCAACGAUGCGUAGCCGACCUGAGAGGGUGAUCGGCCACACUGGAACUGAGACACGGUCCAGACUCCUACGGGAGGCAGCAGUAGGGAAUCUUCCGCAAUGGGCGAAAGCCUGACGGAGCAACGCCGCGUGAGUGAUGAAGGUCUUCGGAUCGUAAAACUCUGUUAUUAGGGAAGAACAAAUGUGUAAGUAACUAUGCACGUCUUGACGGUACCUAAUCAGAAAGCCACGGCUAACUACGU